rnacentral:miRNA from 1 species
AACCCGUAGGUCUGGACUUGUG